GGGACAGCGCCGUGCGAGGGAGUCUAACGCAUCGCUUUCCAUUCGGAGGAGGAUGGGGAAAGGAGGGUUUGGCUGUAGUUGCCAUCUUGUCUCAUCACCCAAUGGCUUCUAGAGUGUCGAAGACUGGGACAUGUCCUGUAAGACAUAACCCUUCAAGUCAUUCUGCUUCUUUCCCCAGUCCGUGUUCAACAAAGUUGAGCUGGGAGAACACUCCAGAUAUUUGUACACAAGUCAAGACGCUUUUCUGACCUGCUGAGAAUGCAGAUCAUCUCUUGUAUCUCUCAGCAUGCAGCAAAGCCAUGAAUCUUAUGG